GACGAACGCUGGCGGCGUGCUUAACACAUGCAAGUCGAACGGAAAGGCCCUGCUUUUGUGGGGUGCUCGAGUGGCGAACGGGUGAGUAACACGUGUGUAACAUGCCCUUGACUUUGGGAUAACUUCAGGAAACUGGGGCUAUUACCGGAUAGGAGCUCUUGCUGCAUGGGGGGGGUUGGAAAGUUUCGGCGGUUGGGGAUGGACUCGCGGCUUAUCAGCUUGUUGGUGGGGUAGUGGCUUACCAAGGCUUUGACGGGUAGCCGGCCUGAGAGGGUGACCGGCCACAUUGGGACUGAGAUACGGCCCAGACUCCUACGGGAGGCAGCAGUGGGGAAGAUUGCACAAUGGGCGGAAGCCUGAUGCAGCAACGCCGCGUGCGGGAUGACGGCCUUCGGGUUGUAAACCGCUUUCGCCUGUGACGAAGCGUGAGUGGCGGUAAUGGGUAAAGAAGCACCGGCUAACUACGUG
rnacentral:rRNA from 1 species